rnacentral:sRNA from 1 species
CUUGGUCAUUUAGAGGAAGUAAAAGUCGUAACAAGGUUUCCGUAGGUGAACCUGCGGAAGGAUCAUUAGUGAAUUUAGCGCAUCUACUUUGUAGAGCGUGACCUCCACUUUCUAACUCUGUGCACUUAAUGGCGGAAGAAGAUGUGUAAAAGCUCUUCUUCUGCGGCUCAUUUUAUAACACUAGUUAAAGAAUGUAACGAAAUAUCGAAACAAAAAAAAACUUUCAACAACGGAUCUCUUGGCUCUCGCAUCGAUGAAGAACGCAGCGAAAUGUGAUAAGUAAUGUGAAUUGCAGAAUUCAGUGAAUCAUCGAAUCUUUGAACGCACCUUGCGCUCCCUGGUAUUCCGGGGAGCAUGUCUGUUUGAGUGUCAUGAACUCUUCAACCCACCAGUUUCUUGUAAACUGAAUGGUGUUUGGUUUCUGAGCGUUGCUCGUCCUCUGUGACUGAGCUCGUUCGUAAUAUAUGAGCAUCUCUAAUUCGAAUUCGGAUUGACUCAGUGUAAUAGACUAUUCGCUGAGGACACGCUUUUAGUGUGGCCGAAUAAGAUAAUUGUAGAAGCUUCCAACCCUUCUAGUCAUUUUAAGAUUAGACCUCAGAUCAGAUAGGACUACCCGCUGAACUUAAGCAUAUCAAUAAGCGGAGGAAAAGAAACUAACAAGGAUUCCCCUAGUAACGGCGAGUGAAGCGGGAAGAGCUCAAAUUUGUAAUCUGGCACUUUCAGUGUCCGAGUUGUAAUCUCGAGAAGUGUUUUCCGCGCCGGACCGCAUACAAGUCUGUUGGAAUACAGCGUCAUAGUGGUGAGAACCCCGUAACUGAUGCGGAUGCCCGGUGCUUUGUGAUACACUUUCGAAGAGUCGAGUUGUUUGGGAAU